GCCCGUUUAGCUUAGGGGUAGAGCGUUGCACUUGUAUGAUGCAAAGGUCACUGGUUCGAUUCCAGUAUCGGGCA
rnacentral:tRNA from 1 species